CGUUCAACCUGGAUAGUAAUUGAAGGGAUUGAAAAAUAGCAUUUAUGUUACGACCGAAAGAUGGUGAACUAUACUUGGGAAGGACGAAGUCAGAGGAAACUCUGAUGGAGGUUCGAAGGGGUUCUGACGUGCAAAUCGAUCUUCAUACCUGAGUAUAGGGGCGAAAGACUAAUCGAACCAUCGAGUAGUUGGUUCCCUCCGAAGUUUCCCCCAGGAUAGCUGGAACUCAUGAUAGUUUUAUCAGGUAAAGCGAAUGAUUAGAAGUUUUGGGGAUGAAACAUCCUCGGCUUAUUCUCAAACUUUAAAUAGGUAAGAUUAUUCAUUUACUUUAGUGAAUUGAGUAAUCGAAUAAAGAGUUCUUAGUGGGCCAUUUUUGGUAAGCAGAACUGGCGAUGUGGGAUGAACCAGACGUUAAGAUAAAGUGCCAAAGAUUUCGCUCAUCAGACACCAUAAAAGGUGUUAAUUCAUAUCGACAGUAGGACGGUGGCCAUGGAAGUCGGAAUCCGCUAAGGAGUGUGUAACAACUCACCUACCGAAUGAAUUA
rnacentral:rRNA from 1 species